CAGCCUGGGCUACACAGAGAAACCCUAUCUUGAAAAACAAACAAAAAUUAUCUUGAAGCAUCUUUAACCCACCUAACAGCAACUUAUUGUCCACCUCUGUAUGUGAUUUAAUGUCUUCGUGACAAUUAGGUAAGUUCUUUACAAGCAGACAAUUUCCAAUAACCAAGGGGCUGAGAAUAUCCACGGACAGCAUCUAAGGCCAUUAGCAACAUUUUUGCUGCCCCCUAUAACCACCUACCUGAUACAUUCAUCCAUGUAGUCGAAAGUCUGUUGUUUUAUGACCUUCUUUGUUCUAUUUCUUAAAAAGCCCAUGGAGUCGCUACAUCUUUAGAGCGUGGCGUUUGGGGAGCGUCGAAUCUGUGUUUUCCGAUCUCACUCUUAAUUUGGCUUCAGAAUGAACCGUCUCUUUAAGGUGAGAACCGUUUCUGUGGCUGACUGUUUUGAUACUCGAGCUGAAGGAGAGUAAUAACAUAGACACAGGAGUCAGCUUGGAGAAAUAAGAAGCCUUUCCCAUGCCCCGUGACCUCAAAAUAGUAGCUCCCUUCUGGCAGCUAUCUGAACCCUGACCUGACCCUGUUCCCAUGCUGCCGUGAGGAAGCUGGCUUUCCCUUCACUUGCAGGCAGACAAACGUCACAAUGUUUGUAGAUUUCUCAUGGAUCUCUGCAUAGACCCGUGGCAAUCACUGACUUAAAACACUUAAGAAAGUUCAAGGCUGUGACAAUAAUAACUCACUCGUCACAGGGCAAGCUGGAUCUCCACAGCAGCUGAUGAUGGCUCUUUUAGCGAAAGGAGUCAAGGUGCUGUCUGUCCAGCAGAGGGCACAGGCCCACCUCAUCCCCAAACCAAAGGACUGGUUCCGGUGUUGGCAAGGGGAGGGGUCUCCUCCUCCUGUGCCUGGUCCCUCUGCUGACCUGUGCCUGAUCUCCUCCAGGAUGCAGGAGAUCACCUCAGAUGUCGUCUGGAUUGAAAUGUUAAAAGUUAAGCAUUCUAACCCAAUGAAGAAGACAAUAUUUGAUCUUUUUGGUUUUGUGCUUCUGUAAUUUAAAAAUUAUAUGUAAAAUUAUUUAUUAA
rnacentral:lncRNA from 1 species